CAAGUCGAGCGAGAAAGGGGAGCAAUCCCUGAGUAAAGCGGCGUACGGGUGAGAAACACGUGGAUGAUCUACCCUCUAGUGGGGAAUAACCCUGGGAAACCGGGGCUAAUACCGCAUAAGCACGAGAGUGGAAAGCAGCAAUGCGCUGGAGGAGGAGUCCGCGGCCGAUUAGCUAGUUGGCAGGGUAAAAGCCUACCAAGGCAAAGAUCGGUAGCCGGCCUGAGAGGGCACACGGCCACACUGGCACUGAAACACGGGCCAGACUCCUACGGGAGGCAGCAGUGGGGAAUCUUGCACAAUGGGGGAAACCCUGAUGCAGCGACGCCGCGUGAGCGAUGAAGCCCUUCGGGGUGUAAAGCUCUUUCGGCAGGGAAGAUAAUGACGGUACCUGCAGAAGCAGCUGCGGCUAACUACGUGCCAGCAGCCGCGGUAAUACGUAGGCAGCAAGCGUUGUUCGGAGUUACUGGGCGUAAAGGGUGCGUAGGCGGUUGUUUAAGUUUGGUGUGAAAUCUCCCGGCUCAACUGGGAGGGUGCGCCGAAUACUGAAUGACUCGAGUGCGGGAGAGGAGAGUGGAAUUCCUGGUGUAGCGGUGAAAUGCGUAGAUAUCAGGAGGAACACCGGUGGUGUAGACGGCUCUCUGGACCGUAACUGACGCUGAGGCACGAAAGCGUGGGUAGCAAACAGGAUUAGAUACCCUGGUAGUCCACGCCCUAAACGAUGCAUAUUUGGUGUGGGCAGUUCAGUCUGUCCGUGCCGGAGCUAACGCGUUAAAUAUGCCGCCUGGGGAGUACAGUCGCAAGGCUGAAACUCAAAGGAAUUGACGGGGGCCCGCACAAGCGGUGGAGCAUGUGGUUCAAUUCGAC
rnacentral:rRNA from 1 species